rnacentral:rRNA from 1 species
GAUGAACGCUGGCGGCGUGCUUAACACAUGCAAGUCGAACGAAGCACUUUAUUUGAUUUCCUUCGGGACUGAUUAUUUUGUGACUGAGUGGCGGACGGGUGAGUAACGCGUGGGUAACCUGCCUUGUACAGGGGGAUAACAGUUGGAAACGGCUGCUAAUACCGCAUAAGCGCACGGCAUCGCAUGAUGCAGUGUGAAAAACUCCGGUGGUAUAAGAUGGACCCGCGUUGGCUUAGCUAGUUGGUGAGGUAACGGCCAACCAAGGCGACGAUCCAUAGCCGACAUGAGAGGGUGACCGGCAACAUUGGGACUGAGACACGGCCCAAACUCCUACGGGAGGCAGCAGUGGGGAAUAUUGCACAAUGGGCGAAAGCCUGAUGCAGCGACGCCGCGUGAGCGAAGAAGUAUUUCGGUAUGUAAAGCUCUAUCAGCAGGGAAGAUAAUGACGGUACCUGACUAAGAAGCACCGGCUAAAUACGUG